rnacentral:piRNA from 1 species
UGCAUAUCCCACUUGCUUGCCUACCAGG